UACGUAGGGGGCAAGCGUUGUCCGGAUUUAUUGGGCGUAAAGAGCGUGUAGGCGGCCAGGUAGGUGGGUUGUGAAAACUGGAGGCUCAACCUUCAGACGUCGACCCAAACCCCCUGGCUAGAGUCCGGAAGAGGAGAGUGGAAUUCCUGGUGUAGCGGUGAAAUGCGCAGAUAAUCGGGAGGAACACCUGUGGCGAAGGCGGGUCUCUGGGUCGAUACUGACGCUGAGGAGCGAAAGCGUGGGGAGCGAACAGG
rnacentral:rRNA from 1 species